rnacentral:rRNA from 1 species
GACGAACGCUGGCGGCGUGCUUAACACAUGCAAGUCGAACGAAGAGCGAUGGAAGCUUGCUUCUAUCAAUCUUAGUGGCGAACGGGUGAGUAACGCGUAAUCAACCUGCCCUUCAGAGGGGGACAACAGUUGGAAACGACUGCUAAUACCGCAUACGAUCUAAUCUCGGCAUCGAGGAUAGAUGAAAGGUGGCCUCUACAUGUGAGCUAUCACUGAAGGAGGGGAUUGCGUCUGAUUAGCUAGUUGGAGGGGUAACGGCCCACCAAGGCGAUGAUCAGUAGCAGGUCUGAGAGGAUGAACGGCCACAUUGGGACUGAGACACGGCCCAGACUCCUACGGGAGGCAGCAGUGGGGAAUCUUCCGCAAUGGACGAAAGUCUGACGGAGCAACGCCGCGUGAGUGAUGACGGCCUUCGGGUUGUAAAGCUCCGUUAAUCGGGACGAAAGGCCUUCUUGCGAAUAGUGAGAAGGAUUGACGGUACCGGAAUAGAAAGCCACGGCUAACUACGUG